GGGGAUGUGGCUCAGCGUUAGAGCACUCAUCUAGCACAUGUGAGGCCCUGGGUUCAAUCCUCAGCACCA
rnacentral:tRNA from 1 species